UGGGGAAUCUUGCGCAAUGGGGGAAACCCUGACGCAGCCAUGCCGCGUGGAGGAAGACACCCCUACGGGGCGUAAACUCCUUUUGUGCCGGAAGAAGCCCCUGGUUUCCAGGGACUGACGGUAUGGCAAGAAUAAGCACCGGCUAACUCCGUGCCAGCAGCCGCGGUAAUACGGAGGGUGCAAGCGUUGUCCGAAAUUACUGGGUGUAAAGGGUGUGUAGGUGGGACAGCAAGUCAGGGGUGAAAGCCCACGGCUCAACCGUGGAAGUGCCUUUGAAACUGCUGUUCUUGAGUCCCGGAGAGGUUGUUGGAAUUCGUGGUGUAGCGGUGAAAUGCGUAGAUAUCACGAGGAACACCAGUGGCGUAAGCGAACAACUGGACGGGUACUGACACUGAUGCACGAGAGCGUGGGGAGCAAACAGGAUUAGAUACCCUGGUAGUCCACGCCGUAAACGAUGGAUGCUCGAUGUUGCUUCGUCAAGAAGCAGUGUCUAAGCUAACGCAUUAAGCAUCCCACCUGGGGAGUACGGUCGCAAGACUG
rnacentral:rRNA from 1 species